GACGAAGGUGGCGAGCGUUGUUCGGAAUCACUGGGCAUAAAGCGCACGUAGGCGGUUCGUUAUGUCGGAUGUGAAAGCCCUUGGCUUAACCGAGGAAGUGCAUCCGAAACUGGCGAGCUAGAGUACGAAAGAGGAUCGCGGAAUUCCCGGUGUAGAGGUGAAAUUCGUAGAUAUCGGGAGGAACACCGGUGGCGAAGGCGGCGAUCUGGGUCGAUACUGACGCUGAGGUGCGAAAGCGUGGGGAGCAAACAGG
rnacentral:rRNA from 1 species